CAAGUCGUACGCACAGCAAUGUGAGUGGCGCAAGGGUGAGUAAUGCGAAGGUAACCAACCCUGGAGUUGGGCAUAGCCGCGGGAAACUGCGGGUAAUUCCCAGCGAUGUCGCGAGAUGGCAUCAUCUUGCGACCAAAGGUGUGAUUCCGCUCUAGGACGGGUCUUCGUGGUAUUAGGUAGUUGGUGAGGUAACGGCUCACCAAGCCGACGAUGCCUACCGGGUGUGAGAGCAUGACCCGGCACACUGGAACUGAGACACUGUCCAGACACCUACGGGUGGCUGCAGUCGAGAAUCUUCGGCAAUGGGCGAAAGCCUGACCGAGCAACGCCGCGUGAGGGAAGAAGGCCUUCGGGUUGUAAACCUCUUUCGUAGAGGAGGAAGGGGCCGUGCAGAGCGGUCCUUGACCUAUUCUAGGAAGAAGCUUGGGCUAAGUUCGUGCCAGCAGCCGCGGUAAGACGAACCAAGCGAACGUUAUUCGGAAUUACUGGGCUUAAAGCGCGUGUAGGCGGAUGACCACGUCAGUCGUUGAAAUCCCCCGGCUCAACCGGGGAACAGGCGCUGAUACGAGUUGUCUGGAGGUGGGUAGGGGAGACUGGAACUUCCGGUGGAGCGGUGAAAUGCGUUGAGAUCGGAAGGAACGCCCGCGGCGAAAGCGAGUCUCUGGACCCAUUCUGACGCUAAGACGCGAAAGCCAGGGGAGCAAACGGGAUUAGAUACCCCGGUAGUCCUGGCUGUAAACAUUGGGCACUGGGUAGUGGAACCGCCGAUGGUUUCACUGCCGCAGGGAAACCGUGAAGUGCCCCGCCUGGGGAGUAUGGUCGCAAAGCUGAAACUCAAACGAAUUGACGG
rnacentral:rRNA from 1 species